AAUCCUGCCUGCACCUCUCAAAGUGCUGGGAUAAGCAGCAUGGACCACCGCCUCCAGCCUUGUUAGCUUUCAUAUUUGUACGUUAAUAGUAUGCACUUGUAGUAUAAAAAUAUAGUAACUAAAAACUUUGUACCAAACGGAUUUUAGAACUCUAAUAUUUUAGUAAUCAGAUGCAAAAUAUUAUGCUACACUGCAAUUUGUAAGGUGCUAGUAAAUAACAAUGGAAAAUGACAUUUUAAUAUAGACUAUGGCACUUAAUGUGUAAAAUUAAUUAAAGGUUAACAGAGAUGAGAAUCAAGUAUUCUAAAAUGGCAUCAAAAUGUUGACUCGAGAGUAUGAAAUGUUUUCCGAAGAAAUGUCUGAAGAAACAUUUCAUUUCCAUGUUCUAGUUUUAACUUUCAGAUGUAGAAAUUAUGAUUUACUAAAUUAAUUAUAAUGCUUUCACCAUAAAUCUAGCAUAUACAUUCAUUUACUUCAUCAGCAGACCCUUAUAAAAUGCAUAACUAAUAAACUCGGGGAAGUUAUGAAAAAUUUUGCAAGGAUAAAGAUACAUUACAAAAAAGCCCAAGGUUUAAGUUUCCUAAGAGAAUUGCACUGAGACUUGAACUAGUGAUCAGAUUUCCUACAGUGUCCCGGAAAACCUGGUACUUUCAAAGUGAAUUCUAUUGUUCAUUUCAUCAGGUUUUCAUGGUUUUUUUUGUAUUUUAUAAUUUAUUUUAAAUUCAGGGCGCCCAGGUGUUUGGCUUAUUCCCCAAUGUUGGCAGCAGUGAUAAUCUGGCCUUCGUUUUUGCGCGAAAUAGGCACAGACCAAGUCUGAGAGCAAAGAAACCCCACACAAAAACAAAACGCUUGCGCAAGGCUGAAAGGUUAAGAUCCAAGGAGCCGAAGCGACAGCCCAGCAAGUGUCUCUGCUGAAAUUCUUUGGGGUUUGCAGGGACCAGCCGGGCCGAGGCAGCAAACUGCCUGUUCCCCACGCACCCCACAAGGGGCAGCGUGCGAGGAAACCCCGGCGACCUCCGGGGCUAGGGCUUCCGUGGCGCAGGGUCAGCGAGGGAUACACCCGGGUAGCCACUAUGGUCCGCAGCUCCACCCCGGGAACGCAGAGCAGCCCUCACUGGCGGACUCAAGCUUCGGCAGGGACACACCGACCCGGAAGUGCAGUCGUCCCCACCGCAAGUACUUCCGCUUCCCUCCGUAAGGAAGCUGGGACUCAGAGAAAUUAAGGGACUUGGUGAAGCAGAGAAUGUCAAGGGAAUUGAUUCAGUAGUGGACGGGGAGUCCCUGAAGAUUGUUGAGCAGUGAAGAGACCUGAUCAAAUACUAAAAAAGUACAUGCAAUGGCAAGAAGAUCAACUAAGAGAAUGAAGUUCCAGAAAACACACUUUCUGAAAAUAGCCAGGAGUCCAGAAGUCAGAUGGAACCUUCUUCAAAAGACCAACCUCUUUCUAUUAGCAGUUCAGGGAUCCAGAUGCUUGCAAAUGUCCAGUGCAGGCUGAUCUCAGAACACUCCUCACAACAGAUGGGUACUGAUGGCUGAGUACACGGUGCCCUGGGGAAGGCUGAGCCCAAGGCACAGAAGCAGGCAGAGUCCAGUUCCCUGGUUCUCCAGCACCCUUAGGUACAAGCACACCAUCUUGCCCCAGUGUUGGAAUUCUUCAGAACCAGAAUUGCAUCCAGAUCUCUUUUCAUUAAAGCACUUCUAAUUCCCUCACUCAGCCCCAGCACAGGAUGGCGGGAGUAGAGGAGGUUCUGGAGUAAGUCACCUCGUGGGCAUGGGCAAUAGAGGGAUGAUGCCCGUGGGAGGUAGGGGGAAUGGGAGGCAAAGCUCCACGCUGGAACUGCUGCUGAAGAGCGUGGGGGAAGAGGCCUCUUCUCUGGCAGUGAUCCCAGGUGCUGGUGGUGCAGGAUGCUUUCACAGCAGUAUUCAGGGGACCAUGACACUCCACAGGUUCAGCUUAGAGGACAUCACAUCCUCCAUGGCCUGGCCUACAACGAUUGGCUUGUGGCUUUUAGUUUUCACACAGUCACACCUCAGGGUGAGCCAGCUCUGCAGUAGGAUGCACAGCUUUGUCUGCAGCCUCACAGACAUGAACUGCACUCUCAUGCCCUGUGCCCCAGUGCUGGCUGGGCCUUGGUCCUAUUACAUCUGGAACUCAAGGUAGUACGUCAGUGGCCAGGAUUCACACUCAGAACCACCUUGAAAGUCUGUGCUGUUACCACUAUGUCGCAGAGGUAGAAGUAGAUGUCUGUAUAAACAACCUUUGGGUAGCAGGUGGUCAGUUAGGCAGGAAAAAUAAUUCUGCUACAUUAUAUGUAUCAGGAGUAUAUUGACAGGAACAUGUGUGUUGGGAAUAUCUAUGUCAGGAAUAGCAUGAAGAAAGAAAGGCCUUGCCAGUUCUGAGCAAGCUACAUCACACAUCUUGCUAAAGUUUUUGCUGUAUGGAAUUGGUCAUUUUAGAGAUGUCAGUUACCUAGCACAAGAAUUGCAAAGAACAAGGUUGGCCAUGGAAACCCUUCCUAAGGCAGAGAACUAUGUGUUUAAGAACAGGGGCUCAGCAGCAGAUGCCUAAGCUACACAGGCUUGGGCAAGCCACUGCCCUCUUAGCGUCUGUUUUCUCAUCUACAAAAUAUGAAAAAUAAUUGAAUUUUCUUCAACACUUAUGAAGAUGAUAAAUGUUGAGAGUUUAAUACUGUGCCUAUUGUGGUAAGAGCUCUGCUCUUACUUUCUCUGCCUUCACACUUCAGACUGCAAAGUCACCCUCAGCAGCUUUCUGGGGACCCCAGAAAGUCAAAAUGACCCCCUCUGUGGAUUCCUAGAGUUUUCCAGAGGAGGGAAACCAGAAGUCAGCUCUGCUCAGAACUGCUCCUGUGAGAUAUCGGCAUGUGGAUGAAGGCUUAUUUGCUUAAAUCUACGGGGACAGAUAUGAAGGAUUAGUCUGGGCUCCUGGAAAUUCUCUUUAUAAGAAUAUUUAUACAGUACCCAGAACAAGGUUUUUCUUUGCCCAUGUGAAUAGAGAUUACUCUAUUAACAUUGAGAAUCCACAAGGCAAAUUAGAUAUAAAGUGAGGAUCGCUUUGUGCUUGUUUUCCGAGAGUGAAAUAUUCCUCAAUGGUAGGCUUAACUCCCUGGGAUAUUCACAUUAAACAUCCACACACCCUGCCCCCCAUGCACUUACACACAUACCACCUUGAUUUGCUAGAAGACUUCUGAGAUAUUGUCCAGAGAAAGAACCCAGAUUUGAGUCCUUAAGACAGGGGUUCUCCCUUCACUGAUAACACGUUAAAAUUUUAAUACUCCUUUCUUACCCUCUCCCUUGUGCUACCCUAUUUGGGGAAAAUGUAAAUUAGUACAACUUCCAUGAAAAACAGUAUGGAUAUUUCUCGAAGAAACAUUCAAUCUAGCAGUCCCAGUACUGGGUAUCUACCCAAAGGAAAAGAAACCAUUAUAUCCAAAAAAUACCCGCACUUGCAUGUUUACCACAGCACUAUUCACAAUAACAAAGAGAUGGAAUCAACCUAAGUGUCCAUCA